rnacentral:rRNA from 1 species
UACGUAGGUGGCAAGCGUUAUCCGGAAUUAUUGGGCGUAAGCGCGCGCAGGUGGUUUCUUAAGUCUGAUGUGAAAGCCCACGGCUCAACCGUGGAGGUCAUUGGAAACUGGGAGACUUGAGUGCAGAAGAGGAAAGUGGAAUUCCAUGUGUAGCGGUGAAAUGCGUAGAGAUAUGGAGGAACACCAGUGGCGAAGGCGACUUCUGGUCUGUAACUGACACUGAGGCGCGAAAGCGUGGGAGCAAACAGG